GACGAACGCUGGCGGCGUGCUUAACACAUGCAAGUCGAACGGAAAGGCCCUGCUUUUGUGGGGUGCUCGAGUGGCGAACGGGUGAGUAACACGUGAGUAACCUGCCCUUGACUUUGGGAUAACUUCAGGAAACUGGGGCUAAUACCGGAUAGGAGCUCCUGCUGCAUUGUGGGGGUUGGAAAGUUUCGGCGGUUGGGGAUGGACUCGCGGCUUAUCAGCUUGUUGGUGGGGUAGUGGCUUACCAAGGCUUUGACGGGUAGCCGGCCUGAGAGGGUGACCGGACACAUUGGGACUGAGAUACGGCGCAGACUCCUACGGGAGGCAGCAGUGGGGAAUAUUGCACAAUGGGCGGAGGCCUGAUGCAGCAACGCCGCGUGCGGGAUGACGGCCUUCGGGUUGUAAACCGCUUUCGCCUGUGACGAAGCGUGAGUGACGGUAAUGGGUAAAGAAGCACCGGCUAACUACGUG
rnacentral:rRNA from 1 species